UGUCAAGCUGUAGAUGCUGCAACACUAGUAUUACAGUACCCAAGUGGGAAAGUAGAAAAGCUGUAUUGGCCUGUGAGUGCUGCUGACGUUAUGAAGAUGAACCCUGGUCACUACGUGGCUCUUCUCCUCUCUACCCCCUUGUAUCCGACUCGUAAAAAUGGAGAAUGCCCCAACACCACCACCACAACCACCGCCAACAACAACAGUAACAACUCUCUUCGGAUAACAAGAAUNNNNNNNNUCAAGCCCACGGAUACUCUUGUUCUUGGUCAUGUUUAUAAACUCAUCACUACACAAGAGGUUAUGAAGGGGCUGUUGGCUAAGAAACAAGCAAAGCAGAAGAAAAACC
rnacentral:misc_RNA from 1 species